rnacentral:rRNA from 1 species
UCGGGAAUUUUGGGCAAUGGGCGAAAGCCUGGCCCAGCAACGCCGCGUGAAGGAUGAAGUAUUUCGGUAUGUAAACUUCGAAAGAAUAGGAAGAAUAAAUGACGGUACUAUUUAUAAGGUCCGGCUAACUACGUGCCAGCAGCCGCGGUAAUACGUAGGGACCAAGCGUUGUUCGGAUUUACUGGGCGUAAAGGGCGCGUAGGCGGCAAUUCAAGUCAUCUGUGAAAUCUCCGGGCUUAACUCGGAACGGUCAGAUGAUACUGCUUUGCUAGAGUGCAGAAGGGGCAAUCGGAAUUCUUGGUGUAGCGGUGAAAUGCGUAGAUAUCAAGAGGAACACCUGAGGUGAAGACGGGUUGCUGGGCUGACACUGACGCUGAGGCGCGAAAGCCAGGGGAGCAAACGGGAUUAGAUACCCGAGUAGUCCCUGAGCGGGCUGGCAAGGCGCAU